GCGGCCAUCGGCCUGGCGGGCACGGUGCUGGCGGCUCCGGGGGUGGCGACGGCGGACACGUGCGAGUGGGUCGUGUCCAAAGUGGCCGUGCC
rnacentral:tRNA from 1 species